GACGAACGCUGGCGGCGUGCUUAACACAUGCAAGUCGAACGGUGAUGGGUGGAGCUUGCUCUGCUCUGAUCAGUGGCGAACGGGUGAGUAACACGUGAGUAACCUGCCCCAGACUCUGGAAUAACCCCGGGAAACCGGUGCUAAUACCGGAUAUGACACAGAAUCGCAUGGUUUCUGUGUGGAACGUUUUUCGGUUUGGGAUGGACUCGCGGCCUAGCAGCUUGUUGGUGAGGUAAUGGCGCACCAAGGCCACGACGGGUAGCCGGCCUGCGAGGGCGACCGGCCACACUGGGACUGAGACACGGCCCAGACUCCUACGGGAGGCAGCAGUGGGGAAUAUUGCACAAUGGGCGCAAGCCUGAUGCAGCGACGCCGCGUGAGGGAUGAAGGCCUUCGGGUUGUAAACCUCUUUCAGCUCUGAAGAAGCGAAAGUGACGGUAGGAGCAGAAGAAGCACCGGCUAACUACGUGCCAGCAGCCGCAGUAACAC
rnacentral:rRNA from 1 species